rnacentral:tRNA from 1 species
GGGGAUUUAGCUCAGUGGUAGAGCGCUUGCCUAGCAAGCACAAGCACAAGGCCCUGGGUUCGGUCCCCAGCUCCG